rnacentral:tRNA from 1 species
UUCCAGGUGGCCCAGCAGUUGAGACUCUGCACUCUCAAUGCAGAGAGCCCAGGUUCGAUCCCUGAUCAGGGAA